GUUAUAUGGUCAAGUGAAGAAGCGCAUACGGUGGAUGCCUUGGCAGUCAGAGGCGAUGAAAGACGUGGUAGCCUGCGAAAAGCUUCGGGGAGUCGGCAAACAGACUGUGAUCCGGAGAUGUCUGAAUGGGGGAACCCAGCCAUCAUAAGAUGGUUAUCUUGUACUGAAUACAUAGGUGCAAGAGGCGAACCAGGGGAACUGAAACAUCUAAGUACCCUGAGGAAAAGAAAUCAACCGAGAUUCCCUUAGUAGUGGCGAGCGAACGGGGACCAGCCCUUAAGUUGUAUUGAGAUUAGCGGAACGUUCUGGAAAGGACGGCCAUAGUGGGUGAUAGCCCUGUACGCGAAAAUCCCUUUGCAAUGAAAUCGAGUAGGACGGGGCACGAGAAACCUUGUCUGAAUAUGGGGGGACCAUCCUCCAAGGCUAAAUACUACUGACUGACCGAUAGUGAACCAGUACCGUGAGGGAAAGGCGAAAAGAACCGCGGAGAGCGGAGUGAAAUAGAUCCUGAAACCGUAUGCGUACAAGCAGUGGGAGCCCACUUUGUUGGGUGACUGCGUACCUUUUGUAUAAUGGGUCAGCGACUUAUUUUCAGUGGCGAGCUUAACCGAAUAGGGGAGGCGUAGCGAAAGCGAGUCUUAAUAGGGCGUCUAGUCGCUGGGAAUAGACCCGAAACCGGGCGAUCUAUCCAUGGGCAGGUUGAAGGUUGGGUAACACUAACUGGAGGACCGAACCGACUACCGUUGAAAAGUUAGCGGAUGACCUGUGGAUCGGAGUGAAAGGCUAAUCAAGCUCGGAGAUAGCUGGUUCUCCUCGAAAGCUAUUUAGGUAGCGCCUCAUGUAUCACUGUAGGGGGUAGAGCACUGUUUCGGCUAGGGGGUCAUCCCGACUUACCAAACCGAUGCAAACUCCGAAUACCUACAAGUGCCGAGCAUGGGAGACACACGGCGGGUGCUAACGUCCGUCGUGAAAAGGGAAACAACCCAGACCGUCAGCUAAGGUCCCAAAGUCAUGGUUAAGUGGGAAACGAUGUGGGAAGGCUUAGACAGCUAGGAGGUUGGCUUAGAAGCAGCCACCCUUUAAAGAAAGCGUAAUAGCUCACUAGUCGAGUCGGCCUGCGCGGAAGAUGUAACGGGGCUCAAACCAUGCACCGAAGCUACGGGUAUCAUCUUAGGAUGAUGCGGUAGAGGAGCGUUCUGUAAGCCUGUGAAGGUGAGUUGAGAAGCUUGCUGGAGGUAUCAGAAGUGCGAAUGCUGACAUGAGUAACGACAAUGGGUGUGAAAAACACCCACGCCGAAAGACCAAGGUUUCCUGCGCAACGUUAAUCGACGCAGGGUUAGUCGGUCCCUAAGGCGAGGCUGAAAAGCGUAGUCGAUGGAAAACAGGUUAAUAUUCCUGUACUUCUGGUUAUUGCGAUGGAGGGACGGAGAAGGCUAGGCCAGCCUGGCGUUGGUUGUCCAGGUUUAAGGUGGUAGGCUGAGAUCUUAGGUAAAUCCGGGAUCUUAAGGCCGAGAGCUGAUGACGAGUGUUCUUUUAGAACACGAAGUGGUUGAUGCCAUGCUUCCAAGAAAAGCUUCUAAGCUUCAGGUAACCAGGAACCGUACCCCAAACCGACACAGGUGGUUGGGUAGAGAAUACCAAGGCGCUUGAGAGAACUCGGGUGAAGGAACUAGGCAAAAUGGCACCGUAACUUCGGGAGAAGGUGCGCCGGUGGAGGUGAAGCAUUUACUGCGUAAGCCCCUGCCGGUCGAAGAUACCAGGCCGCUGCGACUGUUUAUUAAAAACACAGCACUCUGCAAACACGAAAGUGGACGUAUAGGGUGUGACGCCUGCCCGGUGCCGGAAGGUUAAUUGAUGGGGUUAGCGCAAGCGAAGCUCUUGAUCGAAGCCCCGGUAAACGGCGGCCGUAACUAUAACGGUCCUAAGGUAGCGAAAUUCCUUGUCGGGUAAGUUCCGACCUGCACGAAUGGCGUAACGAUGGCGGCGCUGUCUCCACCCGAGACUCAGUGAAAUUGAAAUCGCUGUGAAGAUGCAGUGUAUCCGCGGCUAGACGGAAAGACCCCGUGAACCUUUACUAUAGCUUUGCACUGGACUUUGAAUUUGCUUGUGUAGGAUAGGUGGGAGGCUUUGAAGCGUGGACGCCAGUCUGCGUGGAGCCAACCUUGAAAUACCACCCUGGCAACUUUGAGGUUCUAACUCAGGUCCGUUAUCCGGAUCGAGGACAGUGUAUGGUGGGUAGUUUGACUGGGGCGGUCUCCUCCUAAAGAGUAACGGAGGAGUACGAAGGUGCGCUCAGACCGGUCGGAAAUCGGUCGUAGAGUAUAAAGGCAAAAGCGCGCUUGACUGCGAGACAGACACGUCGAGCAGGUACGAAAGUAGGUCUUAGUGAUCCGGUGGUUCUGUAUGGAAGGGCCAUCGCUCAACGGAUAAAAGGUACUCCGGGGAUAACAGGCUGAUACCGCCCAAGAGUUCAUAUCGACGGCGGUGUUUGGCACCUCGAUGUCGGCUCAUCACAUCCUGGGGCUGAAGCCGGUCCCAAGGGUAUGGCUGUUCGCCAUUUAAAGUGGUACGCGAGCUGGGUUUAGAACGUCGUGAGACAGUUCGGUCCCUAUCUGCCGUGGACGUUUGAGAUUUGAGAGGGGCUGCUCCUAGUACGAGAGGACCGGAGUGGACGAACCUCUGGUGUUCCGGUUGUCACGCCAGUGGCAUUGCCGGGUAGCUAUGUUCGGAAAAGAUAACCGCUGAAAGCAUCUAAGCGGGAAACUUGCCUCAAGAUGAGAUCUCACUGGAACCUUGAGUUCCCUGAAGGGCCGUCGAAGACUACGACGUUGAUAGGUUGGGUGUGUAAGCGCUGUGAGGCGUUGAGCUAACCAAUACUAAUUGCCCGUGAGGCUUGACCAUAUAACACCCAAGCAAUU
rnacentral:rRNA from 1 species